CCAAUUGUAGUUUUGAUCCUUGCUGCCAUUGCUGGAACUGUGUUCCUGUGGAGAAGACAGCAAAAGAAACGUGCCUCCAGUUAUAUCCCAGAAAGACAUUCUGAAACAGGAAGAUCCCUGGCUAGCCCAGAGUGUUCUGAGGAGCAUUCUAGCAGAAAUGCAGGCUCAACAGGCAUGCAAGAGUGUGCUGCAGGCCCUAGCAAAGAAAUUUCAUCUGUCUACUGUUUGCUUGACCAUGGGACAAAUCCAACAGACUCAGGAGACAAUGAAUAAUUGAGUCGAAACCUGUUUGACAUUGUUUAAACAGAGGCUGUUCAAAGACAACCAGCAUGCUAAAUACGAUGCCGCGUGGCUGAAUAGCAGCCACCUUCCACUGCUCAUAACUGG
rnacentral:lncRNA from 1 species